rnacentral:lncRNA from 1 species
CAGGAAGCAAAUCAGACACCUGGCCCAGUCGCCUCUCUGAUAAGGAGUGGGAGAGAAUGCCAGCCAUGCAUUUCGCGACUCUCCCUCUGCUCGUUCCCAGAAGCACACAUUGAAGCUUCCUUUCCAGGGAAAGAAAAAGGCCACAUUUCUGGGGAAAAAAAAAAAACUUGAAAAAUAACCAAGCACUCGCUGCACAUAAAACAGCUGCUGCGUGCAGACCACUUGGUGCAGCCACGACGCGGGGGAGAGUGAAGACGGGCAAUUCCGGGGCGGUCGUGUCAUCUUUCUGGGUGAGUACACACGUGACACCGAGAGAAGAGAAAGUGGUUUCCCAGGUUGGCGGCACCAGCACGUUGCCAGGCAAUGAGCCAAGACCGAGGGCUCAGACAAAAGACAGAGCGGCCGACUGGGCUCAGCGGACACACAGCGCAGAGCCAGCUGCUGGCUGGGAGGACGCCCUGCAGCCUCGCAGGGAACGUGGGCUCCGGCUUCCAGAGGGCAGCGCCAUUCGCUCACAGACGGCCAGGAGACCCUCCCUGUGCAGGCAAUGCCGGGUGAGGCAUCGCUCCUGAAGAAUUAAUCAGAAACUCAGAAAAAUUCCGCCGAGCAGAAGCCAGAUGAGAAUCCGACUGGAAAUCUAGAAGGAAUCUGACCAGCAUCGCAAAGAAGGGGAGGAGCUGAGUGGGAAGGCAGCCUCAGGGAGCUUCCCCGGAAAGAUGGGCCUGCUCAUUCCAUCCCCGACAGGACUGUCAGUCAUUUCACAACCACGGCUGCUGAUGAAGACAAUCAAACAGCAGCAACCUUCUGAGGUCAAGACAGUGCUGGGCGUCUCUCGGAGUCACUCCCCUAUCUUUUCGUCUGUUCUCUCAGGACAGCUUGGUGACGUUGCUAAGGAAGGAAUUUGUGAAAAUGAGGAAGCGGCCCCAGAAUCCUUGUUGUUUUUCCCCAAACCUGGCUACUGGUGGUCAGAGUGACCUUGAGGUGCCUCACAGGGUUGUUCCAGGUGGCCCAGGUCUGCACCCUCUGACCCAUGGCCGACCAUCUCCAUGGCCUGUAAAGGUGCUUCUCUUAGGUGCCACCCAAGUGCCACGGCAGUGUCAGAGGGAGGCCCAUAGCCAGCCUCCUGAGUCAGAGCCUUUGGGCUGGGACCGGGGCAAGCACAUUUUUAGAAAGUUCCUCCAGGACACGUUUGGUGGAGCUCAUCCAUAAUGCUCUCUGGACAACCUUUGGACUAAGUAACUUUCCUAAAGUCUCUCAACUCAGUGGCCACCACCUUAGAACUGGGAACUGUCCCUCAAUGCCCACUCAGGUAUUUCUGCCAUGCCCUGUGUAAUUUGGCCUUUCUAGACCCAGCUUUCUUCUCCCACAUGGAGGCCGUGGAGGACUGCCUGUGAGUCCUGAACUCCCUGGGAAGCUUUGGACUUAGAUGUCUCCAUCGCAGGCACACCCCAGCGAAUAUCUUAUCACCAUGAGCUGCGCUUGCUGAUCUCAUUUAUUCUUCAUGAAAUAUUUGUGGAUUUUCUUUUUGUGGCCAGGCACAGGAUAGACUUAGAACAGCAUCCACUUUGUGAAACAAGUAGGACAGGAAUGCAGAUGAGUAAGGGGCAAGACAAGAAAGCACAGUGAGAUGUGAGAUGUGUCCUGCUAGCAUGGGUGGCGGGUGGCACACAGCAAACUUUGGGGAGUCAGGAAAGGCUUCCAAGAAAAAAAGUGUCUGGGAGUUACUCAUCAACGGCAUAAAGUUUCAAUCAACCAAGAUGAGUAAGCUUCAGACAGCGGCUGUACACCAUUGCAUCUGCAGUCAGCAAUAACACACCGACACCUAAACAUUGGUUAAGACGGUGGAUCUCAUGUUAAGUGUACUAACCAUAAUAGAAUUAAAUAUGAGAAAGAAACAAUGUCUAAACUGAGACCUGUGAGUUAAGAAGGACUUAACCAGGUGAAAAUGGAGGCAGGGAUUCCAGGAAAGAGGCUUUGCAAACAAUCUGUUGUCUCCUCUAAUACACCUUAAGCCCCUCAAGAGCACAAACCAUGUUCAUUUGGCCUGAAUUCUGAGUACCUAGUGAAGGUUCAAUACAUUUUGGUUAAAUGAAUAAUCAACUCAGCUGCUGAUAUAUAUAUAUAUGUUUGAGAUAUACAUAUAUCUCAUAUAUAUAUCUAUAUGAGAUAUAUAUAUGAGAUACAUAUAUGAGAGAGAUAUAUAUAUGUAUAUUUCUCAAACAUGUAUAAAUAUAUGUGUGUAUACACACUCACACACAUAUAUACACAUAAGAGGGCAUUGAGAGAGAGAUUGGCAUUUGCAAAAUAAUUUGUUGCUCAAAUUCAGAGGUAUUUGAGCACGUUAUCUUCUUGCAAAUAAUAGAAAAUUGUACCAUGAUAACCCAUGCAAUCUCUGCUUAAUACAUGAGGAAGAAGAUGCAAAUCUAUGUUCUUUCUUUUACCAGGACCUCACUAUAGGAAGAAAAAAAAAGUAAAGCAACCUCGCAGGUAUCUUUGCUGGUUAACAUCAUAGAGUAUGAAGGGUAUCUUGAUGUGAUCCAUUUUAAGCUACAAAGUUUCUUACAGUCAUACUCAAAACUGGCAAAAUACAGGACAUCAUACACAUUUUCAUAUUUUAUUCUAAUGUUUAUUCUGAGGUCAACAAUAUAAAUUAGUUUCUGAGAUGCGCAGAUAAAUUAAAAUUCCAUGCAGGUGACCAUAGACAUACCCCUACUAUGUGUAUCUGUCUAAACUAUAACCGGAGAGGACUACAAUUAAUCCCUUAAGCCCUUUAUCUUCUUUUCGUCUCCUGCUUGGUUCUACGUAAACACCUUUGCUGAACUGGAAGAUCCAACCAACUUAUACGAGCUUCUUGGAUGCGAAUGAAAACCUCGUGAAUUGCCCAGCAAGUUGACAUUCCUUUCUAGAUCCAGCACAUACAACUCUCUCCAGGUGAGCACAAAGAAAGAAGAGAUUUGAAGUCAGCGAGGUGCGUUUUAUUGGUUCAAAAGGGGAGGUUAUUUUUUAAAGGCUUAUGGAAAAAGGUAGCUAUGUUUGUUCUCUCAAAUAAUCACAUAAAGACCCUGCUAACAUUUCUGGUACAACAACCCUGCCGUGGUUAAUUUCCAGACAAUGAAAGGUGAGAAGGCUGGAAAGGAAACCGAAUCCUGCAGUGUCUAAUCAAUUUUAAUAGAAUCCGCUAAUUGAAUCAUCCACAUCCUUUAAAAAGAGACAUGGAAAUCAUGGAAGCAAGCCUCUGUUUUGGUGCAUUCUUCAUCCCUCAUGGCAUGUCAAAAAAAUUGAAUUUCUCACAGUGGAGAAAGAGUCUGUCAAAGUUAACUUUACCUGGAACUAAUAAAUUAUUAUAUUUCAUCCAAAGGGUUUCCAAUAAGUAGUUAUUCAAAGACUCAAUUUUUCAAUUAAUGUCUCCAAAUGCUUUUCUGAUCAUAAUUUUCCUAGUACAUUUUCAUGUUUGCUUCUCACUAUUGUCUUUGUGAGGAGUGUUGGAAAUUCCCAAGCUGGGGCAACCCCCAGGCUUCUCCCUCCAACCCCUCUCUCACUUGGACUCAGGCUUCCCCAGGGAGCAGACUCAGGGCGCACUGAGGGCAGGAGGAGAUGCUGGCAGCCCCUCAGGGUGGAGGCCACCCUGGAACCUUGACCUAGGGAGUCAGUAGUCUGUGGUGUCAGAAGGUGGCAUUAGAUCAGAGGGCUCAGGAAUCCAUAGUCAAG